AGUGAACGCUGGCGGUAGGCCUAACACAUGCAAGUCGAACGGAGCGGCGGACGGGUGAGUAAUGACUAGGAAUCUGCCUGGUAGUGGGGGAUAACGUCCGGAAACGGGCGCUAAUACCGCAUACUAUCAGAUGAGCCUAGGUCGGAUUAGCGAGUUGGUGGGGUAAAGGCCUACCAAGGCGAAGAUCCGUAACUGGUCUGAGAGGAUGAACAGUCACCAUGGAACUUAUACACGGUCCAGACGCCUACGUGAGGCAGCAGUGGGGAAUAUUGGACAAUGGGCGAAAGCCUGAUCCAGCCAUGCCGCGUGUGUGAAGAAGGUCUUCGGAUUGUAAAGCACUUUAAGUUGGGAGGCGUUACCAACAGAAUAAGCACCGGCUAACUUCGUGCCAGCCGCCGCGGUAAUUC
rnacentral:rRNA from 1 species